rnacentral:rRNA from 1 species
GCGUGUGCUAACCGCAAGGAGGCAGGCGACCACGGUAGGGUCAGCGACUGGGGUG